UUUAGAAAAGAAAGAUAAUUACCGCAAACACAAAGUUUUAUAAUAUUGUGGUUGGAGACAAAAACUGGAGAAGAAAGCUUAACCUUUCAAAAUUCAAUAAGCUGGUGUUUCCAAGUCAAUUUGGAUCAAAAAACCAUUGGAAUCUUGGGGUUGUCGACUUCCAAAAUUCAACAAUAACAAUUAUCGACUCGCUUGGUAAGAAGAAACACGAGCAGCAUUAUGACAAACUGAGAAAAUUCUUUCAAGCAAGAUACGGAAUGUUUACUGAUAAAUUUACGAUUGGACAGAUGCAACAUCCGAUCCAAGACGAUAGUGUUAGUUGCGGUAUAUAUGUA